AUCGUUAUUAUCGAGGGUGUGACGGAGAAGGAUAGUGUGUGCUAGCGAUUGGAAAUGCUAGUCUAAGCGUUUAGGGAGUUACGGUAGGCAAAUCCGCUGUAACAAUUCUGAGGCGUGAUGGGGAAGGCCAUAUAGGCCGAAGUACAUGAUUCCAUGCUUCCAAGAAAAGCAUCUAGAGAGAGAAGUAGUGCCCGUACCGCAAACCGACACAGGUAGAUGAGGAGAGAAUCCUAAGGCCGGCGGAAGAAUUGCAGUUAAGGAACUAGGCAAAUUGACCCCGUAAGUUCGCGAGAAGGGGUGCCUGCGAGAGCAGGCCGCAGAGAAUAGGCCCAAGCAACUGUUUAGCAAAAACACAGGUCUCUGCUAAAGCGUAAGCUGAUGUAUAGGGGCUGACGCCUGCCCGGUGCUGGAAGGUUAAGGGGAACACUUAGCGCAAGCGAAGGUGUGAACUUAAGCCCCAGUAAACGGCGGCCGUAACAAUAACGGUCCUAAGGUAGCGAAAUUCCUUGUCAGGUAAGUUCUGACCCGCACGAAUGGCGUAAUGACUUGGGCACUGUCUCAACUGCAAAUCCGGCGAAGUUGUAGUGCGAGUGAAGAUGCUCGCUACCCGCGAUUGGACGGAAAGACCCCGUAGAGCUUUACUGUAGCUUAGCAUUGAAUUCCGGUAUUGUCUGUACAGGAUAGGUGGGAGACUGGGAAACUAGGGCGUCAGCCUUAGUGGAGUCAACCUUGGGAUACCACCCUGACAGUACUGGGGUUCUAACAGGACGCCAUGAAUCUGGUGACUGGACAUUGUUAGGUGGGCAGUUUGACUGGGGCGGUCGCCUCCUAAAAAGUAACGGAGGCGCCCAAAGGUUCCCUCAGAACGGUCGGAAAUCGUUCGUAGAGUGCAAAGGCAGAAGGGAGCCUGACUGCGAGACAUACAAGUCGAGCAGGGACGAAAGUCGGGCUUAGUGAUCCGGUGGUACCUCGUGGGAGGGCCAUCGCUCAACGGAUAAAAGCUACCUCGGGGAUAACAGGCUGAUCUCCCCCAAGAGUCCACAUCGGCGGGGAGGUUUGGCACCUCGAUGUCGGCUCGUCGCAUCCUGGGGCUGUAGUAGGUCCCAAGGGUUGGGCUGUUCGCCCAUUAAAGCGGCACGCGAGCUGGGUUCAGAACGUCGUGAGACAGUUCGGUCCCUAUCCGUCGCGGGCGUAGGAAAUUUGAGAGGAGCUGUUCUUAGUACGAGAGGACCGGGAUGGACUGACCUCUGGUGCACCAGUUGUUCCGCCAGGAGCAUGGCUGGGUAGCUAAGUCGGGAAGGGAUAAACGCUGAAAGCAUCUAAGCGUGAAGCCUCCCUCAAGAUGAGAUUUCCCAUAGCAUAAGCUAGUUAGACCCCUUGAAGAACACAAGGUUGAUAGGUCAGAGGUGUAAGUGCGGUAACGUAUUUAGCUGACUGAUACUAAUAGGUCGAGGGCUAGAUC
rnacentral:rRNA from 1 species